rnacentral:rRNA from 1 species
CCUACGGGCGGCAGCAGUGAGGAAUAUUGGUCAAUGGGCGCAGGGCUGAACCAGCCAAGUAGCGUGAGGGAUGACGGUCCUAUGGAUUGUAAACCUCUUUUGUCAGGGAGCAAAGUGAGCCACGUGUGGCGUUUUGCGAGUACCUGAAGAAAAAGCAUCGGCUAACUCCGUGCCAGCAGCCGCGGUAAUACGGAGGAUGCGAGCGUUGUCCGGAUUUAUUGGGUUUAAAGGGUGCGCAGGCGGAAUGUAAAGUCAGUGGUAAAAUUGCGGGGCUCAACCCCGUCGUGCAGUUGAAACUGGCGUACUUGAGUGAGCGAGAAGGAUGCGGAAUGCGUGGUGUAGCGGUGAAAUGCGUAGAUAUCAAGAAGAACACCGAUUGCGAAGGCAGCAUACCGGCGCUCAACUGACGCUCAUGCACGAAAGCGUGGGGAGCGAACAGGAUUAGAUACCCGGGUAGUC